AAUGGGCAUCAGUGUAAGAAGUUCCUGAAGCUUUGAAGAGACAAAAAAAAAAAAAACAAUUGUCUCCAAGGUUGCAUCAGGGAGCUGGAGCCACAGGCUGGGUGAACUCACUGGACCCCACCAGAGGAAGGCGGAUGGCUAAUCCAACAGAAAGAGUUUUCAAGUAUUUUAAUUACUUGAAAACUAGAAAUACACCGGCUUUUUAACUGUGUUGUUUAUGUUCACUUGAUGCCUGGCCUGUGCUGCAAUUGAAAUGCAAUUUCUAAGUGGAAAACAGAAGGAGCAGAAGAGGCCGGGCUUCCCCACAUGAUUUGGAGGAUUUCCUGUCAGCCAGUGGCAGUAGGGAAAUCAUUCAGGAAGGUGGCAACACGUCCGGUGACAACUUUUGUCUCUUGUUGGGUCAUGUAAAAAGCUUACUUGAUGAAGCUAUAAUCUCUCGUCAUGAUAUUAAAACAACUCCAACAUUGGGAACCUAAUGCUGCUGCAGAAUGAUUCACUGAUGAAGAAACACAAUGACACAACUAAAAUAGAGAUACUGAAUAUGAGAUGAAAAGAACACAUAAAAGGAUGAACACAACGUCACUAUAGGGAUAUACUGUAUAUGUAACACAGAAACAGACAGGACAAACAACCAUGCCAAAACUAUUUUAUAAUUUUAAAAGUAUGUUGCUUAUAUAUCAUUUAAAAAUGUGUUUAUUUAACAUUAAAGUCAGUUUGAGGAUCUGAAAAAUGUAAGUGUGACAAAAAAAGACCAAAAACAGGAGAAACCUGUAAAGUGACAAGUACUUUUUCAAGGCACCACAUGUGGGUUAUUGGUU